rnacentral:rRNA from 1 species
GAUGAACGCUGGCGGCGUGCCUAAUACAUGCAAGUCGAGCGAACGGACGAGAAGCUUGCUUUUCUGAUGUUAGCGGCGGACGGGUGAGUAACACGUGGAUAACCUACCUAUAAGACUGGGAUAACUUCGGGAAACCGGAGCUAAUACCGGAUAAUAUUUUGAACCGCAUGGUUCAAAAGUGAAAGACGGUCUUGCUGUCACUUAUAGAUGGAUCCGCGCUGCAUUAGCUAGUUGGUAAGGUAACGGCUUACCAAGGCAACGAUGCAUAGCCGACCUGAGAGGGUGAUCGGCCACACUGGAACUGAGACACGGUCCAGACUCCUACGGGAGUCAGCAGUAGGGAAUCUUCCGCAAUGGGCGAAAGCCUGACGGAGCAACGCCGCGUGAGUGAUGAAGGUCUUCGGAUCGUAAAACUCUGUUAUUAGGGAAGAACAUAUGUGUAAGUAACUGUGCACAUCUUGACGGUACCUAAUCAGAAAGCCACGGCUAACUACGUG